GACGAACGCUGGCGGCGUGCUUAACACAUGCAAGUCGAACGAGUGGCGAACGGCGGAGUAAUACGUGAGUAACCUGCCCUCUUUUUGGGAUAAGCCGUGGACACGGGGGAUAAUACCGGAGAAAGGGGGAUGGGCUCGCGGCCGUUCAGCUUGUUGGUGGGGUGAGGGCCUACCAAGGCGGUGACGGGUAGCCGGCCUGAAGGGGUGACCGUCGACAGUGGGACUUAGAGUCGGCCCAGGCUCUUACUGGAGGGAGCAGGGGGGGAUAUUGCACAAUGGGCGAAAGCCUGAUGCAGCGACGCCGCGUGGGGUAUGAAGGCUUUCGGGUUGUAAACCUCUUUCGCUAUCGAAGGGUAGGUGGGGAAGAAGCGCCGGCUAAGUACGUGCCAGCAGCCGCGGUAAUAC
rnacentral:rRNA from 1 species